GGGGCGUUAGCUCAGUUGGUAGAGCACCUGCAUGGCAUGCAGGGGGUCAGCGGUUCGAAUCCGCUACGCUCCA
rnacentral:tRNA from 6 species